GGGGGAGAUCUGGUUCUGCCCCAUAGCAAUCCCCUUCUGCCCCAUAGCGAUAUAGUUCUGCCCCAUGGUGAUCUGUUUCUGCCCCAUAGUGGGGGAGAGAUCCCGUUCUGACCUAUAGCAAUCCGGUUCUGCCCCAUAGCGAUCCCAUCCUGCCCCAUAGAGGGGGUUGGAGAACCCAGUUCUGCCCCAUAGAGGGGGGGGUUACCCCAUUUCUUCCCCAUAGAGGGGCUGGAGACUCCGUUUCUGCCCCAUAUUGGGGUGGGAGCUCUGGUUCUGCCCCAUAGACAGGUGAGAUACCACAUUUCUGCCCCAUAGCAGGUAUGGGAGCUCCAGUUCUGCCCCACAUUGGGGAUGGGAGACCCCAUUUCUGCCCCAUAGUGGGGAUGGAAGCCUCAGUUCUGCCCCACAUUGGGGCUGUAUCCUCUGCUAUGGGGCUGUGUCCCCUAUGGGGCCACAUCAUCCAUCUGUGGGGCUGUGUCCCCAGUAUGUGGGGCUGUGCCCCUCAUCUAUGGGGCUGUAUCCUUUACCUGUGGGGCCCUGCCCCCCAAGUGUGGGUCUGGGCCCCCCAAGUGUGGUUCCCUGCUCCCCAUCUAUGGGUCCCUGCCCCCCAAGUGUGGGUCUGGGCCCCCCAAGUGUAAGUCCCUGCCCCCCAAGUGUGGUUCCCUGCCCCCCAUCUCUCUAUAGGGCCCAGCCCCCCAAGUGUGGGUCUGGGCCCCCCCUGACCUCCUUCUCUCCUCAGCUUCCGGCCCACGCUGCCCCUGUCCGCGGUCGGGGUCGCUCUGGCCUUGGACAGCCCCGAGAGCCGGAGCCGCUUCCUGGGGUCUCUGCCUCUGUCCUACUGCGGCCCCGACGCCAUCGACUGCAAGCGGAGCCUGCUGGCGCUGACCCACAGCGACACAUAGAGACACAUAGAGACCCAUUGCUGCCCCAUAGCUGCCCCAUAGCGACAUGUGGGGCUGCCCCAUUGCUGACCCACAGCGACACAUAG
rnacentral:lncRNA from 1 species